UUAUAAAAUAUCUGGGUAUUAAGUUUUCUAAUUAUUAAGUACUUCGUUUUCCUCGUCACCUCCUGUACGCGAUCAAGAGACAAACUUUCACCGUGAGACCAUCUUUCUCCCUUCACAAAGCCGAAAAGAGAUGAGAAAAAAAAAAAUAAAAAAAAAAUUUCAGAGUCAAAGUUCGGGACAAUAUUCAGCUAAAUUUAUUAGUUUCCAAUUUGAACUUGUUCAAAAGUUGGCUCGAAAAGCGCGCGCGGUGGCGUAUAAAAUAAAUUUUCCUUAUUCUCCGCAGCAGCCCUCAUAUUUUUCAAGCCAUUUAAUCCCAUAAUAACCUUUCGAUCUACAUCAUCUGGACGAUCGAAGAGAAACCCUAAGAGUGAACGAGGAAAACUUUGUCCCAAUUGCGGCUGUAUUCACCCCGUAAUAUCCCG
rnacentral:misc_RNA from 1 species